CAAGAAACGAUUGUCCCAUUUAAAUACGAGAGCUGGUUAUGAUACAGCCUGAUCUGUGGAUAAAAUCCUAGGACUGAGGAUUUGCCUUUAGUCAACUAAGAAGAUACACAGAGUUUAUGAAUGACAUCACCAGGAUGGAAGAGCAGGAGGCGUCUGCCUCUGUCCCUGCCCCCCGAAAAGGAUCAAUAAUUAGACAGCUAUCCACAAACCAAAAUAGCUCUGGGAAAGCUCUGGAGUCCACCUAAGAAAUUUCAGCAACACAGUGGAACAAAAGACCUGAGAAUACACAAAAAGGGAAGGAAGACAGCUUCAUUUUGCCUAUAUCAUCCUGUCCCCAAAGCCAGCACUGCUCAGCCACAAGAGGGAACCUCCACUGCCGUGAGCCUGCAACAAACCCAGCAGCCAGGGUAGUGCGUACUGACAGCCAGGGGCACUGCUGGUGGGAAGGUAAAUUGGUAUAGCCACUAAGGAAAACAGUACGGAAGUUCCUUAAAAGAUUAAAAAUAGAAACACCUCUGAUCCAGCAAUCCUACUUCUGGGUAUAUAUCCUAAGAUGAUGAAAUCACUAUCUCAAAGAGGCAUCUGGACUCCCACGUUCAUCGCAGCAUUAUUCAUUAUUCAUUAUUCAUAUCAUUCAUCAUUUAUUAUUCAUAUUAUUAAUGAAUAAUAAUUCAUUACUCAAUAGCCAAGACACAGGAACAACCUAAGUGUCUUUCGAUGGAUGAAUGGAUUUUAAAAUGUGGUCUAUACAAUGGAAUAUUAUUCAGCCACAAAAAAAGAAGCAAAUCCUGCCAUUUGCGACAACUGAGAUGGACUUUGAGGGCAUCAUGCUAAAUGAAAUAAGUCAGACAGAGAAAGACAAACACUGUAUGAUCUCAUUUAUAUGUGGAACUUAAAAACAUCAAAUUCAUAGAAACAAGAAGAAUAGUGGUUUUGAGGGGCUGAGGAGUGGUAGGAAUGGGGACAUGUUGGUCAAGGAUACAAACUUUCGGUGAUAAGAUGAAUAAGUUCCAGGACUCUAAUGUACAGCAUGAUGACUAUAAUUAACAAUAUUGUAUUGUAUACUUGAAAACUGCUAUGAGAGUAGAGCUUUCAUGUUCUCAUCAUAACAACAAUGAAAUGGUCACUAUGUGAGGGGAAGGAUGUAUUAGCUAACCUUACUGUGGUAAAUAUUUCACAAUGCAUACAUGUAUCUAAUCACUGCAUUGUAUACCAUAAACUUAUACAACGUUACAUGUCAAUUAUGUCUCAAUAAGGCUGGAACGAAAAAAAAGAACCUUGAAAUAUCAGAAGAACAAAUAUUAUUUCCAAUACGGUCAUGGGGUUGUGAGUUGGUAAAUAGAGAAACACCUGUUCUUAAGAAGUAAGUUCAAAUGGUAACUACAGUUUCAGAUAGGCUUAUCUUCAAAUAGAUGUAAUAACAAUCUUCAGAGUCCUCCAUCUUUUCAGACAAAAUCUACCAAAAUGCACAUAAGUGACAACCUUGAUUAGUGGCAUCUAAAUCAUAAGAAUUAUGUUCUGUAGUGAAAGAAAAGAAUAUAGUUGGGGACAGUUUAAAUUCAUAUGUAACGAAUGGUGCUCUUUUUAUGUGCCGGUCCUCUGCUAUUCAUAUUCAUGAUCUUGAAGCCAGGUAACCGAGGGUUACUGCAAAUAUUCCAUAAGAAUGUGGUUACCCUCCGACCUUGUUCCCAACACAGACACAGAUGAAAAGAAGUUACUAAGUAGCCUUAGUCACCAUUAGAUAUAGUUGUUGAAUCCAAAUGGUUGCUUCACAGCCAGCACAUAAUUAUAACUUACUGACUUGUUUUCUUGUCUAACCAAAGGGGUCACUUAAGGAUUUAUGAGCUUGUUUCACAAAGGAAAAAGAAUGCCUUUAAAGAAGUUACAAUCACCAGACAACCAGCCCUAGCUGCCACUAACACCAAGCAGUCUGGUUGCCCAAGGUCUUAUCUAAAGUGAAAGAAACACAGUCUUGACCCUUUGUUUCCCCAAAACUCCACCUCCCAAGCCCCUUAGCCCUAUAAAGACUCCCUGCUUUCUCCUUUGUUAAGGAAGAUCUGAGAGAACCUAUUCUCCCGCCUUCUUAUUCUGGCCAAUUUGAAUAAACCUUUCUCU
ensembl:lncRNA